rnacentral:rRNA from 1 species
AGUUGAUCCUGGCUCAGGAUGAACGCUAGCUACAGGCUUAACACAUGCAAGUCGAGGGGCAGCAUGAGAUUAGCUUGCUAAUCUGAUGGCGACCGGCGCACGGGUGAGUAACGCGUAUCCAACCUUCCCCCUGCUCAGGGAUAGCCCGGUGAAAACCGGAUUAAGACCUGAUAGUUCACUAGAUGGCAUCUGACGGUGAAUAAAGGUUUCGGCAAGGGAUGGGGAUGCGUCUGAUUAGCUUGUUGGCGGGUAACGGCCCACCAAGGCAACGAUCAGUAGGGGUUCUGAGAGGAAGGUCCCCCACAUUGGAACUGAGACACGGUCCAAACUCCUACGGGAGGCAGCAGUGAGGAAUAUUGGUCAAUGGGCGGAAGCCUGAACCAGCCAAGUAGCGUGCAGGAAUGACGGCCCUAUGGGUUGUAAACUGCUUUUGUAUGGGAAUAAAGUCAUCCACGUGUGGAUGUUUGCAUGUACCAUAAGAAUAAGGACCGGCUAAUUCCGUGCCAGCCGCCGC